rnacentral:lncRNA from 1 species
GAGUCUCAAGACACAAAUAACAAGUCAUAUACCAUAAGUCCAAAUUCUAACUAGUGCCCACAUCUAGGGAUAAGUAAACGAAGAAUCUUUAUUGUGAAUUCAGAAACCAGAUCUGCUGUUGCUUGUACUUUUGAAUAAACACCAACUCAUUUUUUUCUAGAUCAAACAAAUUAAAAAAAACAAGAUAAAUUAUGUAGCUACUUUAAAUUUGGAGGAAGUCAUGAGAAGACAUCAGAUCAAGACUGCCCCCAAUCGUGAUAAGAAGCUUAAUUGAUAUAGGCACCAUGCAAAGGGUUGCUCUGCUGUUUCUUAUUAAACCAGCAAGCACCCGUGUCUGACUUAAUGCCAAUCCAAUCCAAAACCAUUCACCCCCAACAAAAACUCAACAAGAUUGUAAUAUAAUUGUAUCCAAGAGUAUUGAAUCAUGAAAACAUAGUGAAAUUAGUUUUCAUGGGUCUUCCUCUGGAAAAAUUGAUCUACGCUCCAAGCGGCAGUCAGGUCGCCAUUAAAGUGGCGCCUGCUGUUGACUCGUUUAAAAAUGGAGCCCUCUUUCUUUCACGACAUACCAACAAAACAUUACGUAAACGCAUAGAUUUAACAAACAAAAACAAAACCAGAG